CGGGUUCCCCAGCUCGCGCGUGCGAGUGCCUGUGCGCGUCUGUAGGAAGGAGAGCUGACCUCCAGGAUGGGAAGCCCGGCGCGGGAAACAGGCUGACCACACUCUGGCUUCGUCGGCGAAGCCAGGUGGAAACCAAGGAAAUUCCUCGGCGGUCCAGAGUCAGCUCCGCAACUCCACUGGUCGGAACUGUCAGAUGAGCACCAUUAGCGCUGUCCCAGGGCGCAGACAUCAUUAUCUCUGUGCUUUCCUAACUGCCUCUCUGAAAGCCUUGACAAUGAACGUUGAUGAGAAUGCGGACGCCAGAUAAAAAUUAUGAAAUAAAGGAAUUUGCCUUUGGCGUCUGGUUCCCCC